rnacentral:rRNA from 1 species
UACGAAGGGUGCAAGCGUUGUUCGGAUUUAUUGGGCGUAAAGCGCGCGUAGGCGGACCUGCAAGUCAGAUGUGAAAUCUCGGGGCUCAACCUCGAAACUGCGUCUGAAACUUACAGGUCUAGAAUCUUGGAGGGGGAAGGGGAAUUUCUCAUGUAGGGGUAAAAAUCCGUAGAUAUGAGAAGGAACACCAGAGGCGAAGGCGCCUUCCUGGACAAGUAUUGACGCUGAGGCGCGAAAGCGUGGGGAUCAAACAGG